rnacentral:rRNA from 1 species
CAUGCAGUCGAGGGGUAACGAUGUCUUCUGACAGGCGACGACCGGCGCACGGGUGAGUAUCGCGUUUGUAACCUACCUUUAACUGGAGAAUAGCCCGAAGAAAUUCGGAUUAAUACUCCAUAAUACUAUGAUCUGGCAUCUUUUUAUAGUUAAAGCUCCGGCGGUUAAAGAUGGGCAUGCGUAACAUUAGUUUGUUGGUGAGGUAACGGCUCACCAAGACUACGAUGUUUAGGGGGUCUGAGAGGAUGGUCCCCCACACUGGUACUGAGACACGGACCAGACUCCUACGGGAGGCAGCAGUGAGGAAUAUUGGUCAAUGGGCGCAAGCCUGAUCCAGCAAUGCCGCGUGUGUGAAGAAGGCCUGCGGGUUGUAAAGCACUUUCAGUAGAGAAGAAAAGCCUACGGUUAAUAACCGUGAGUCUUGACGUAACCUACAGAAGAAGCACCGGCUAACUCCGUGCCAGCAGCCGCGGUAAUACGGAGGGUGCAAGCGUUAAUCGGAAUUACUGGGCGUAAAGCGCGCGUAGGCGGCUUUGUAAGUCGGAUGUGAAAGCCCUGGGCUUAACCUGGGAAUUGCAUUCGAUACUGCAGAGCUAGAGUAUGGUAGAGGGAAGUGGAAUUCCGGGUGUAGCGGUGAAAUGCGUAGAUAUCCGGAGGAACACCAGUGGCGAAGGCGACUUCCUGGGCCAAUACUGACGCUGAGGUGCGAAAGCGUGGGGAGCAAACAUGAUUAGAUACCCUGGUAGUCCACGCCGUAGACGAUGAGUACUAGAUGUUGGGCAUGCAGUCGCAUGCAGUCGGCAGC